GCGACCCCAGGAUGGGCGAGGCCACCCGCCGAGUUUAAGCAUAUCAAU
rnacentral:rRNA from 2 species